CGAGCGGUAGAGAGAAGCUUGCUUCUCUUGAGAGCGGCGGACGGGUGAGUAAUGCCUAGGAAUCUGCCUGGUAGUGGGGGAUAACGUUCGGAAACGGACGCUAAUACCGCAUACGUCCUACGGGAGAAAGCAGGGGACCUUCGGGCCUUGCGCUAUCAGAUGAGCCUAGGUCGGAUUAGCUAGUUGGUGAGGUAAUGGCUCACCAAGGCGACGAUCCGUAACUGGUCUGAGAGGAUGAUCAGUCACACUGGAACUGAGACACGGUCCAGACUCCUACGGGAGGCAGCAGUGGGGAAUAUUGGACAAUGGGCGAAAGCCUGAUCCAGCCAUGCCGCGUGUGUGAAGAAGGUCUUCGGAUUGUAAAGCACUUUAAGUUGGGAGGAAGGGCAGUUACCUAAUACGUGAUUGUUUUGACGUUACCGACAGAAUAAGCACCGGCUAACUCUGUGCCAGCAGCCGCGGUAAUACAGAGGGUGCAAGCGUUAAUCGGAAUUACUGGGCGUAAAGCGCGCGUAGGUGGUUAGUUAAGUUGGAUGUGAAAUCCCCGGGCUCAACCUGGGAACUGCAUUCAAAACUGACUGACUAGAGUAUGGUAGAGGGUGGUGGAAUUUCCUGUGUAGCGGUGAAAUGCGUAGAUAUAGGAAGGAACACCAGUGGCGAAGGCGACCACCUGGACUGAUACUGACACUGAGGUGCGAAAGCGUGGGGAGCAAACAGGAUUAGAUACCCUGGUAGUCCACGCCGUAAACGAUGUCAACUAGCCGUUGGGAGCCUUGAGCUCUUAGUGGCGCAGCUAACGCAUUAAGU
rnacentral:rRNA from 1 species